rnacentral:rRNA from 1 species
GUAGCUUGCUACUGGACCUAGCGGCGGACGGGUGAGUAAUGCUUAGGAAUCUGCCUAUUAGUGGGGGACAACAUCUCGAAAGGGAUGCUAAUACCGCAUACGUCCUACGGGAGAAAGCAGGGGAUCUUCGGACCUUGCGCUAAUAGAUGAGCCUAAGUCGGAUUAGCUAGUUGGUGGGGUAAAGGCCUACCAAGGCGACGAUCUGUAGCGGGUCUGAGAGGAUGAUCCGCCACACUGGGACUGAGACACGGCCCAGACUCCUACGGGAGGCAGCAGUGGGGAAUAUUGGACAAUGGGGGGAACCCUGA